UACGUAGGGUGCGAGCGUUGUCCGGAAUUAUUGGGCGUAAAGAGCUCGUAGGCGGUGUGUCGCGUCGGCCGUGAAAACCUGCAGCUUAACUGUGGGCUUGCGGUCGAUACGGGCAUCACUGGAGUUCGGUAGGGGAGACUGGAAUUCCUGGUGUAGCGGUGAAAUGCGCAGAUAUCAGGAGGAACACCGGUGGCGAAGGCGGGUCUCUGGGCCGAUACUGACGCUGAGGAGCGAAAGCGUGGGGAGCGAACAGG
rnacentral:rRNA from 1 species